GCGCUCCCUCGGGGGGGUUCGGGCAUCUCUACCUCAGUGCCGCCAAUCUCAGGUCAGAGAUCCAAACCCUCCGGGGGCGC
rfam:Human herpesvirus 1 complete genome